AGUGCGCUGCCAGGGUCCUGCGGGUUGGGGCGAGGGCCGAGAGGUGGGAGUUGGAGGUGAACGUGGGGGCAGCAUGCUGGCUGCCCGGCCCCUGCCUGGGUUCUGAGUUGCUGCGGUGUCGCGGGAGCUGAGGCCGCCCAGGGCGUGGAGCGACUUCUGCGUCUCGUCCCAGGGUCCUGUGCUCCCCGCAGAAUCCCCCAGGCGCGGUGUGGACGUCAAAGCGACCUCCUAGAGAACAUUCCUAGCUCUCAGAACGUUCUCGCUGGGGAGGGAAAGUGGAAAAAGAGGGGGCGAGGAGCGGAGGGACGGGGUGGGACCCCUGUCGCGGGGCGCCUGUCAGGGAGAGGGACCUGGCAAGGCCGGCCUGGGUCGCCUCCGGAGCUGAAGGCUAAGUGGUCUCAUCCAGGGGACCUGCUGUGAACACAUUGAAUAGCAUAGAAAACAAAAGCACACGCUCCAAGUCC
rnacentral:lncRNA from 1 species